rnacentral:rRNA from 1 species
GAUGAACGCUGGCGGCGUGCCUAAUACAUGCAAGUAGAACGCUGAAGGAGGAGCUUGCUCUUCUGGAUGAGUUGCGAACGGGUGAGUAACGCGUAGGUAACCUGCCUGGUAGCGGGGGAUAACUAUUGGAAACGAUAGCUAAUACCGCAUGACAACAGUUAUUGCAUGAUAACUGUUUAAAAGGGGCAACUGCUCCACUACCAGAUGGACCUGCGUUGUUUUAGCUAGUUGGUGAGGUAAAGGCUCACCAAGGCGACGAUACAUCACCGACCUGAGGGGGUGAUCGGCCAAACUGGGACUGGGACACGGCCCAGGCUCCCUCGGGAGGCAGCAGGAGGGGAUCUUCGGGAAUGGACGGAAGUCUGACCGGGGAAAGCCGCGGGAGUGAAGAAGGUUUUCGGGUCGGAAAGCUCUGUUGUAAGAGAAGGACGAGUGUGGGAGUGAAAAGUUCACACUGUGACGGUAUCUUACCAGAAAGGGACGGCUAACUACGUG